UACGGAGGAUGCAAGCGUUAUCCGGAUUCAUUGGGUUUAAAGGGUGCGCAGGCGGAAUGAUAAGUCAGUGGUGAAAUCCUACAGCUUAACUGUAGAACUGCCAUUGAUACUGUCGUUCUUGAGUACACUUGAAGUGGGCGGAAUGUGUCAUGUAGCGGUGAAAUGCUUAGAUAUGACAAGGAACACCGAUCGCGAAGGCAGCUCACUAAAGUGCAACUGACGCUCAGGCACGAAAGCGUGGGGAUCAAACAGG
rnacentral:rRNA from 1 species